AGUUGACGCUGGACCAAUCCUCCCGGUCUUGCGUCAGCUGUUCCCCUCUGGAGGUUUUGACCUUCACACCUUAAGGGCCGCGGCUUCCGCUGGCCCUUUUCU
rnacentral:sRNA from 1 species